rnacentral:rRNA from 1 species
GACGAACGCUGGCGGCGUGCUUAACACAUGCAAGUCGAACGGAAAGGCCCUGCUUUUGUGGGGUGCUCGAGUGGCGAACGGGUGAGUAACACGUGAGUAACCUGCCCUUGACUUUGGGAUAACUUCAGGAAACUGGGGCUAAUACCGGAUAGGAGCUCCUGCUGCAUGGUGGGGGUUGGAAAGUUUCGGCGGUUGGGGAUGGACUCGCGGCUUAUCAGCUUGUUGGUGGGGUAGUGGCUUACCAAGGCUUUGACGGGUAGCCGGCCUGAGAGGGUGACCGGCCACAUUGGGACUGAGAUACGGCCCAGACUCCUACGGGAGGCAGCAGUGGGGAAUAUUGCACAAUGGUCGGAAGCCUGAUGCAGCAACGCCGCGUGCGGGAUGACGGCCUUCUGGUUGUAAACCGCUUCCGCCUGUGACGAAGCGUGAGUGACGGUAAUGGGUAAAGAAGCACCGGCUAACUACGUG